rnacentral:misc_RNA from 1 species
GUUCGGCUGCCCUGUCGAACGUCGAUAUAAUCCGGUGAAGAGGCUUUAGCAGACGGUGUUGAACCUGCUAGUCUCAUCUGCUACGCUCUCCACCGCACAUGUUUACGUUUUGAGCAUACCCACACGCUCGUGCACGCCGCGCUUUUCCCCUUUCCCGUCAACGUCAGCGCUUGUGUGCGCUGUGUCCGCACACCUCUUCCGCCGUAGGGCGUGGAUGUCUGCCGCCGCGGCGUUGGGCGCGUACUCGUGUGGAUCCCGCGGUGCGCUGUGCCGCGUGCGCGCCGUGCCCGCCGACAUCACCACCGCCAUGUCGGAUCGCUACGAGUCCAUAGAGACGAGCUUACAGUUUUCAAGCUCCAGUAGCUUCAGUACCGUGUUGCCUCCCAUAGGCGAGGAAGGAUGCACUGAUGUGCGGGUCUUAGUAGUAGCGGGGGCCUCCUCUGGCAAGAGGCAAAAUGAGAAGGGCAACGACACACAUGCGCGCAGCCUGCAGCGCGUCGUGCCGCCCUCUUUCCUGCACAACGAGGGGGCGGCGGCGUCCGUCGAGAGCCAGCCUCUCGCUCAUCGUGCGCUGUCCGCGUCGUCUUCGGGGCGAGAAAGCGGCAAUCGCGUGCACGACUCCGCGACGGCCACGGCAGACUCGGAGUACUACUUCCUCUCCACCAUACGCGGUAGCACAUCCCCGCCUGGCAUGAGCACCUACUUUGGCGGUGCAGUAGCUCCUACAGCGCCGGUAGCGCGGGUGACAGAAACAGCGAUGUCCCUCAUGUCGGAUAUCGAGUCCUUCGAGGACAUUGAGACCCCUCGCAGCAGUGUGGUCAGUGCGGUCGCAGCCGAACAGGUAUCGCGCACCAUCUCACCAUCGCCGCCGACACCGUCGUUGCACUCGCGCAAGACGGGGGCUCGUGGAGACUUGCUCUAUGCUGAGGUUGCUGUUGUGAACGCCGAGGAGGCGCGAGCUGCUCACGCGCUGCUCACCUCCUCCUCUGCCGCCAUAAUUGCGCGGUACCGCCUUGUGAAGCUGAAGGUGGUGCAGCGCAUCUACCGCAUCUACUACGACAAGUGGCGGUGGAGAAUCUUUCAGAGCGCGUCCGCGGUGCCGCCGCUGCAUGUCACCAUGGGCAUACAAACAUCCGCGCCGUAUCAGCGCUCCGCCUCGGUGGAGACAGACUUUGCCGACAUCGAAUCCUUUCACGGCAGCCGCUCCAUGAGCCUUUCCGGGGACAGCCCUGGCGUGCACGUAGCGGUGACCGCCCCGCCGCGGGACGCGCAGCCUCUUCGUUCAUCCCCAGCGACCCCUACUCCCUCUCCGCGGCUCGGGGAGGGGGAGAGCGAGAGAGGGAUUUCUGUCACAUGGUCACCGGCGCCGGCGUUUCGACUGGAGACCUUUGCAUCUGCAUCGCCGCCAUCACCACCGCAACCCUCCAAGUAUCGCACGCCCACCUUUUCUAUCCCUCCGGCUGCUCCGCCGACGGACGGCAUUGGCGUGCGCACGAAGCCCGCGAAGCUCGUGGACUUUGGGCACCCCUCCGAGGGGCCGCAGCGCAAGACGCUACAUAUCGCCUCAACGCCGGCGGUGAAUCUUCCAGUGGUGGUUCCUUCGCCGGAGCGCAUCUUCCGAUGCUGAGCGUACGGCCAUCAACCUUUUGUUUCUUUCUCUGGCUGCGUGUGUCUAUUUGGCUGGCACGGCAGCUUCAUGGACGGUAUGUGACACCUAGAUCUCCGCUGCGAAUAUAGAGCAAGUUAUUC